rnacentral:rRNA from 1 species
UGAAGUUGCUGAUGCCAUACUUCCAGGAAAAGCCUCUAAGCUUCAGAUUAUACCGAAUCGUACCCCAAACCGACACAGGUGGUCAGGUAGAGAAUACUAAGGCGCUUGAGAGAACUCGGGUGAAGGAACUAGGCAAAAUCGUACCGUAACUUCGGGAGAAGGUACGCUCCUAUCUGUGAUGAGACUUGCUCUCUAAGCGGACGGGAGCCGCAGUGACCAGGUGGCUGGGACUGUUUAUUAAAAACACAGCACUGUGCAAAAUCGCAAGAUGACGUAUACGGUGUGACACCUGCCCGGUGCCGGAAGGUUAAUUGAUGGGGUUAGUUUUCGGACGAAGCUCUUGAUCGAAGCCCCGGUAAACGGCGGCCGUAACUAUAACGGUCCUAAGGUAGCGAAAUUCCUUGUCGGGUAAGUUCCGACCUGCACGAAUGGUGUAACCAUGGCCACGCUGUCUCCACCCGAGACUCAGUGAAAUUGAAAUCGCAGUGAAGAUGCUGUGUACCCGCGGCUAGACGGAAAGACCCCGUGAACCUUUACUACAGCUUGGCACUGAACAUUGAACCUACAUGUGUAGGAUAGGUGGGAGACUUAGAAGAUGAGACGCUAGUUUUGUUGGAGUCGUCCUUGAAAUACCACCCUUGUAGUUUUGAUGUUCUAACGUUGGCCCCUGAAUCGGGGUUACGGACAGUGCCUGGUGGGUAGUUUGACUGGGGCGGUCUCCUCCCAAAGAGUAACGGAGGAGCACGAAGGUUGGCUAAGUACGGUCGGACAUCGUACGGUUAGUGUAAUGGUAGAAGCCAGCUUAACUGCGAGACAGACGCGUCGAGCAGGUACGAAAGUAGGUCAUAGUGAUCCGGUGGUUCUGAAUGGAAGGGCCAUCGCUCAACGGAUAAAAGGUACUCCGGGGAUAACAGGCUGAUACCGCCCAAGAGUUCAUAUCGACGGCGGUGUUUGGCACCUCGAUGUCGGCUCAUCACAUCCUGGGGCUGAAGUCGGUCCCAAGGGUAUGGCUGUUCGCCAUUUAAAGUGGUACGCGAGCUGGGUUUAGAACGUCGUGAGACAGUUCGGUCCCUAUCUGCCGUGGGCGUUUGAGAAUUGAGAGGGGUUGCUCCUAGUACGAGAGGACCGGAGUGAACGAACCGCUGGUGUUCGGGUUGUCAUGCCAAUGGCAUUGCCCGGUAGCUACGUUCGGAACUGAUAAGCGCUGAAAGCAUCUAAGCGCGAAGCAGGCCUCGAGAUGAGUUCUCACUAGACUUUUAAAGUCUCUGAAGGGCCGUUGAAGACUACAACGUUGAUAGGCAAGAUGUGGAAGUGGUGUGAGCCAUUAAGCUAACUUGUACUAAUUACCCGUGAGGCUUAACC